rnacentral:rRNA from 1 species
UAAUACGGAGGAUGCAAGCGUUAUCCGGAUUGAUUGGGCGUAAAGCGUCUGUAGGUGGUUACGCUAGUCGGCUGUUAAAGAUCAGGGCUGAACCCUGAGCAAGCAGUCGAAACUGCGUGGCUGGAGUACGGUAGGGGCAGAGGGAAUUCCCGGUGUAGCGGUGAAAUGCGUAGAUAUCGGGAAGAACACCAAAGGCGAAAGCGCUCUGCUGGGCCGAAACUGACACUGAGAGACGAAAGCUAGGGGAGCGAAUGGGAUUAGAUACCCCAGUAGUCCUAGCCGUAAACGAUGGAUACUAAGUGCUGUGCGAUUUAACCCGUCCAGUGCUGUAGCUAACGCGUGAAGUAUCCCGCCUGGGGAGUAUGCUCGCAAGAGUG